rnacentral:rRNA from 1 species
GACGAACGCUGGCGGCGCGCUUAACACAUGCAAGUCGAGCGAGAACCAGUCCUGGACUGGGACGAGCGGCGAACGGGUGAGUAACACGUGGGUAAUCUGCCCUCGAUUCUGGGAGUAGCCCGGGGAAACCCGGGAUUAAUACCGGAUAGCCUCUCGAGCUUACGAGCUCGUGAGAAAAGGUAGCUUCGACCUCCGAUCGAGGAUGAGCCCGCGGCGGAUUAGCUUGUUGGUGGGGAAUUGG